UUCCGGUUGAUCCUGCCGGAGGCCAUUGCUAUUGGAGUCCGAUUUAGCCAUGCUAGUUGUACGAGUUCAGACUCGUAGCAGAUAGCUCAGUAACACGUGGCCAAACUACCCUCUGGAGCGCGACAACCUCGGGAAACUGAGGCUAAUCGCGCAUACCGCUCUCAGGCUGGAACUGCCGAGAGCGCGAAAUGCUCCGGCGCCAGAGGAUGUGGCUGCGGCCGAUUAGGUAGACGGUGGGGUAACGGCCCACCGUGCCAGUAAUCGGUACGGGUUGUGAGAGCAAGAGCCCGGAGACGGUAUCUGAGACAAGAUACCGGGCCCUACGGGGCGCAGCAGGCGCGAAACCUUUACACUGCACGCCAGUGCGAUAAGGGGACUCCAAGUGCGAGGGCAUAGAGCCCUCGCUUUUCUGUACCGUAAGGUGGUACAAGAAUAAGUGCUGGGCAAGACCGGUGCCAGCCGCCGCGGUAAUACCGGCAGCACGAGUGAUGGCCGCUCUUAUUGGGCCUAAAGCGUCCGUAGCUGGCCGCGCAAGUCCAUCGGGAAAUCCGCACGCCUAACGUGCGGGCGUCCGGUGGAAACUGCGUGGCUUGGGACCGGAAGAUCCAGAGGGUACGUCCGGGGUAGGAGUGAAAUCCUGUAAUCCUGGACGGACCACCGGUGGCGAAAGCGCCUCUGGAAGACGGAUCCGACGGUGAGGGACGAAAGCUCGGGUCACGAACCGGAUUAGAUACCCGGGUAGUCCGAGCUGUAAACGAUGUCUGCUAGGUGUGGCACAGGCUACGAGCCUGUGCUGUGCCGUAGGGAAGCCGUGAAGCAGACCGCCUGGGAAGUACGUCCGCAAGGAUGAAACUUAAAGGAAUUGGCGGGGGAGCACA
rnacentral:rRNA from 1 species